CAUGUACUCCCUCCGUUCAGAAUUACUCGUCCAAGAAAUGAAUGUAUCUAGAUGUAUUUUAGUUGUAGAUACAUCCAUUUUUGUGACAAGUAAUUCCAAACGGAGGGAGUAGGUG
rnacentral:pre_miRNA from 1 species